CCUACGGGAGGCAGCAGUGGGGAAUUUUGGACAAUGUGCGCACGCCUGAUCCAGCUAUUCCGCGUGUGUGAUGAAGGCCCUCGGGUUGUAAACCACUUUUGUAGAGAACGAAAAGACACCUUCGAAUAAAUGGGUGUUGCUGACGGUACUCUAAGAAUAAGCACCGACUACCUACGUGCCAGCAGCCGCGGUAAUACGUAGGGUGCGAGCUUUAAUCGUAUUUAUGGGGCGUAAAGGGUGCGCCGGCGGUUGAGUAAGACAGAUGUGAAAGCCCCGAGCUUAACUCGGGAAUGGCAUAUGUGACUGCUCGACUAGAGUGUGUCAGAGGGAGGUGGAAUUCCACGUGUAGCAGUGAAAUGCGUAGAUAUGUGGAAGAACACCGAUGGCGAAGGCAGCCGCAUGGGACAUAACUGACGCUCAGGCACGAAAGCGUGGGGAGCAAACAGGAUUAGAUACCCCUGUAGUC
rnacentral:rRNA from 1 species